GCUGGUGCCUGGUGACUUCUGAAACACCUUCUAAUGGCCCAAGGGCACAGAUAUAAAAACAUUUUGCUAAGAGAAUAUAAGCAGAAAUCCCCAUGUUAACAUAAUUUAAGUAACUAGCAUUAGACUAUGGAUCUUUCACCAAAGAACUUUACUGUGGUUUGAUCCUGUUCUAUUCUAAUCUCUCAAUUUUAUGCUUUCAAUUAAGUGAAACCAAGGUUCCUGUUUUGGUAGGCAUAGAAUAAUUAGUGAUGCUACACCAUUCACAUCUAAAAGCACUCUCUCUGUUGCCUGGUAUGCUUUCAAAAUCCAAAGCCUGGUUCUCGAAACUUUCGGUUUCUGAAUGAGAGGAUGCAUCACUGCAAACGGGAGAUGAGAAUCUUGUAACUGGCAAUAUUUGUCUCAAGAAGAUGCAUUGGCUAGUUUCUUUAGAAAAGAUACGACAUCAUCAGAUGAUUGUAGUUGAUAGCGAGCAUUUGUUCGGGUUCGCCCAACAGCACAGGAGAAAUAAUUAUCUCCCUUGAGAUCAAGAACAUUCCA
rnacentral:misc_RNA from 1 species